CCCUUAGAUGUUCUGGGCUGCACGCGCGCUACACUGAAGCUAUCAACACGUUUUCCCUCCCUGAGAAGGGCGGGUAACCUUUUGAAUCAGCUUCGUGGUAGGGAUCGGGGCUUGCAAUUGUUCCCCGUGAACCAGGAAUUCCUAGUAGACGCGAGUCAUAAGCUCGCAUCGAUUAAGUCCCUGCCCUUUGUACACACCGCCCGUCGCUACUACCGAUUGAACGUUUUAGUGAGGCAUUUGGAUCGACGCAUCUCAGUUUAACCGCUGGUUUGUGUUGGAAAGACUUCCAAACUUGAGCGUUUAGAGGAAGUAAAAGUCGUAACA
rnacentral:rRNA from 1 species